AGCCUGACGCAGCAACGCCGCGUGGAGGAUGAAGGCCCUUGGGUUUGUAAACUCCUGUCGGUUGGGAAGAAAUCGUCCGAGGCGAAUACCCUCGGGUGUUGACUGUACCAGCAAAGGAAGCCCCGGCUAACUCUGUGCCAGCACCGCGGUAAUAA
rnacentral:rRNA from 1 species